UUUAAACCCGUAACCCACAAAUCCGCACGGUAAAAGCCCGCACGAACCCGUCCAUUUAUUCAAUCCGUGCUAAGAAAGCCCGCACGCAAAAAGCCCGCAAAUUAACGGGCUUUGCUUGCUAAGCCCACUGGAACCCGUUGGAACCCAUUUACUUCCAAAAACACCCAGUUCGACCCUUUCCGUCAUUCGGCAACCACAAUAAACGCGAGCAGCCGAGCACAGCAGCCUCCCUUUUCGUGCGCCCUUUUCUUUUCCGUCACCCAAAACCCAUCUCUCUCUCUCUCUCUUUGCCCGCCCAAUUUCUCAAGAUUUCUGGGUUUUUGUUGUGAUAUGGGAAUUUGAAACGAAACAGGGGAAUGAAGAAAAGAGUUGAGAUUUUGAGGCUGGAAUUUUUGGUUUGUCGAAACGGUGAAUUCAGAGAUGGAAUUGAUCUGAGAACAAUGUUGUUGGUUGUUUAUUGUAGUCUACAACCCGCAUAGGAGCUGUCCUGCCAAUCUCUUGAUCUGCUGGUCUAACGGAAGGGGUCUGUUCUUCCCUACUGAUGACAUUGAGAGACUGUAAAAUUAGCAAAAUUUUCGUUAUUGGACGGAAUAUAUAAUUACAGGUUCUUUUAGCUGUUAAAAUUUCUUUACUUCUCUUUUGUACAUUGCUUGUAACACUAAAAGGUAAAAUGAGAGCAAUGUUUACCUUUUGGAGCAAAAACAGUCAAG